rnacentral:rRNA from 1 species
AGUUUGAUCAGUGGCUCGAGGACGAACGCUGGCGGCGUGCUUAACACAUGCAAGUCGAACGGUAAGGCCCUUCGGGGUACACGAGUGGCGAACGGGUGAGUAACACGUGGGUGAUCUGCCCUGCACUUCGGGAUAAGCCUGGGAAACUGGGUCUAAUACCGGAUAGGACCAUGGACUUCACGGUUUGUGGUGGAAAGCUUUUGCGGUGUGGGAUGGGCCCGCGGCCUAUCAGCUUGUUGGUGGGGUAAUGGCCUACCAAGGCGACGACGGGUAGCCGGCCUGAGAGGGUGUCCGGCCACACUGGGACUGAGAUACGGCCCAGACUCCUACGGGAGGCAGCAGUGGGGAAUAUUGCACAAUGGGCGCAAGCCUGAUGCAGCGACGCCGCGUGAGGGAUGACGGCCUUCGGGUUGUAAACCUCUUUCAAUAGGGACGAAGCGCAAGUGACGGUACCUAUAUAAGAAGCACCGGCCAACUACGUG